UUGCACUGAUUUCAACAAUGAAGCGAGUGGCGAACUGGUGAGUAACACGUGGGGAAUCUGCCCAGAAGCAGGGGAUAACACUUGGAAACAGGUGCUAAUACCGUAUAACAACAAAAUCCGCAUGGAUUUUGUUUGAAAGGUGGCUUCGGCUAUCACUUCUGGAUGAUCCCGCGGCGUAUUAGUUAGUUGGUGAGGUAAAGGCCCACCAAGACGAUGAUACGUAGCCCGACCCUGAGAGGGUAAUCGGCCACAUUGGGACUGAGACACGGCCCAAACUCC
rnacentral:rRNA from 1 species